UACGUAGGGUGCAAGCGUUGUCCGGAAUUAUUGGGCGUAAAGAGCUCGUAGGCGGUUUGUCGCGUCUGCUGUGAAAACUCGGGGCUUAACCCCGGGCCUGCAGUGGGUACGGGCAGACUAGAGUGCGGUAGGGGAGACUGGAAUUCCUGGUGUAGCGGUGAAAUGCGCAGAUAUCAGGAGGAACCCCGGUGGCGAAGGCGGGUCUCUGGGCCGUAACUGACGCUGAGGAGCGAAAGCGUGGGGAGCGAACAGG
rnacentral:rRNA from 1 species